CCUACUGGAGGCUGCAGUGAGGAAUAUUGGUCAAUGGUCGGGAGACUGAACCAGCCAAGCCGCGUGAGGGAUGAAGGUACAGAGUAUCGUAAACCUCUUUUGUCAGGGAACAAAGGCGGGGACGUGUCCCCGGAUGCGUGUACCUGAAGAAAAAGCAUCGGCUAACUCCGUGCCCGCCGCCGCGGUAAUACGGGGGAUGCGCGCGUUAUCCGGAUUUAUUGGGUUUAAAGGGGUCGCAGGCGGUAUGUUAAGUCAGCGGUAAAAGGCCGGGGCCCAACCCCGGCCCGCCGUUGAAACUGGCAGUCUCGAGUUGGAGAGAAGUAUGCGGAAUGCGCGGUGUAGCGGUGAAAUGCAUAGAUAUCGCGCAGAACUCCGAUUGCGAAGGCAGCAUGCCGGCUCCACACUGACGCUGAGGCACGAAAGCGUGGGUAUCGAACAGGAUUAGAUACCCGAGUAGUC
rnacentral:rRNA from 1 species